CUGCUGUUACCAUCAUCACUGCCUUCAGUGACCAAGGGCCUUCCAAGGUGCCAGCUCUGGAACGAAGGAUGCCCUUGGGAGGUGAUGACACUCAGUGACCUUGAGGAACCCUGGGAGCUCAGGAAGGAAGGAGCGCCCAGAAGCAGGGACAGGGAGCUGGUUGGGGAGGACCAGAAAUCAGGUUUGUGAAGGUUCCAGAGAGGACCUGUCCUUGCGAGGAGUGUGGGAGACUGAGAUGGGGGAGGGGUCAUUGGAAUGAUGCGGGCGCUACUUGGCAUUGUCCAUUGUGAGGCACCACCGGGGUCAUCAGGGAUUGGUGGAGAGGGAGUAUAAAGCCCCAGGUUUGCUAAGGGAGGGCCCAGACCGAAGAAGGUUUGGCGGAUAGCAGAACCUUUUUGUCUCCCUCUGAUUGCUCCUAAGCCUCACGCUCCCUUGCCCCGCGUGUCCUGUUGCUUCCCUGAUCUUCUCCGUGACCUGUAGCUAAACCUUCCACCAGCGCUUGAGAACUUAAUUUGAACCGGAUCCUUUCCCAGACCCCUUUCUUCUUCUCCUCCUCCUCCUCCACCUCCUCCAGGUGCCCAACAGCCCCCUUCUCCUUUCCCUUCCC
rnacentral:lncRNA from 1 species